UGUAACGGGGCUAAACCAUGCACCGAAGCUGCGGCAGCGACACUGUGUGUUGUUGGGUAGGGGAGCGUUCUGUAAGCCUGUGAAGGUGUGUCGUGAGGCAUGCUGGAGGUAUCAGAAGUGCGAAUGCUGACAUAAGUAACGAUAAAGCGGGUGAAAAGCCCGCUCGCCGGAAGACCAAGGGUUCCUGUCCAACGUUAAUCGGGGCAGGGUGAGUCGACCCCUAAGGCGAGGCCGAAAGGCGUAGUCGAUGGGAAACGGGUUAAUAUUCCCGUACUUGGUGUUACUGCGAAGGGGGGACGGAGAAGGCUAUGUUGGCCGGGCGACGGUUGUCCCGGUUUAAGCGUGUAGGUGUGUGUUCCAGGUAAAUCCGGUUCACUUUAACACUGAGGCGUGACGACGAGGCACUACGGUGCUGAAGCAACAAAUGCCCUGCUUCCAGGAAAAGCCUCUAAGCAUCAGGUAACAUCAAAUCGUACCCCAAACCGACACAGGUGGUCAGGUAGAGAAUACCAAGGCGCUUGAGAGAACUCGGGUGAAGGAACUAGGCAAAAUGGUGCCGUAACUUCGGGAGAAGGCACGCUGACACGUAGGUGAAGUGAUUUACUCAUGGAGCUGAAGUCAGUCGAAGAUACCAGCUGGCUGCAACUGUUUAUUAAAAACACAGCACUGUGCAAACACGAAAGUGGACGUAUACGGUGUGACGCCUGCCCGGUGCCGGAAGGUUAAUUGAUGGGGUCAGCGCAAGCGAAGCUCCUGAUCGAAGCCCCGGUAAACGGCGGCCGUAACUAUAACGGUCCUAAGGUAGCGAAAUUCCUUGUCGGGUAAGUUCCGACCUGCACGAAUGGCGUAAUGAUGGCCAGGCUGUCUCCACCCGAGACUCAGUGAAAUUGAACUCGCUGUGAAGAUGCAGUGUACCCGCGGCAAGACGGAAAGACCCCGUGAACCUUUACUAUAGCUUGACACUGAACAUUGAGCCUUGAUGUGUAGGAUAGGUGGGAGGCUUUGAAGUGUGGACGCCAGUCUGCAUGGAGCCGACCUUGAAAUACCACCCUUUAAUGUUUGAUGUUCUAACGUGGACCCGUUACCCGGGUUGCGGACAGUGUCUGGUGGGUAGUUUGACUGGGGCGGUCUCCUCCUAAAGAGUAACGGAGGAGCACGAAGGUUGGCUAAUCCUGGUCGGACAUCAGGAGGUUAGUGCAAUGGCAUAAGCCAGCUUGACUGCGAGCGUGACGGCGCGAGCAGGUGCGAAAGCAGGUCAUAGUGAUCCGGUGGUUCUGAAUGGAAGGGCCAUCGCUCAACGGAUAAAAGGUACUCCGGGGAUAACAGGCUGAUACCGCCCAAGAGUUCAUAUCGACGGCGGUGUUUGGCACCUCGAUGUCGGCUCAUCACAUCCUGGGGCUGAAGUAGGUCCCAAGGGUAUGGCUGUUCGCCAUUUAAAGUGGUACGCGAGCUGGGUUUAGAACGUCGUGAGACAGUUCGGUCCCUAUCUGCCGUGGGCGCUGGAGAACUGAGGGGGGCUGCUCCUAGUACGAGAGGACCGGAGUGGACGCAUCACUGGUGUUCGGGUUGUCAUGCCAAUGGCACUGCCCGGUAGCUAAAUGCGGAAGAGAUAAGUGCUGAAAGCAUCUAAGCACGAAACUUGCCCCGA
rnacentral:rRNA from 3 species